rnacentral:rRNA from 1 species
AGUCGAACGGCAGCAUGAUCUAGCUUGCUAGAUUGAUGGCGAGUGGCGAACGGGUGAGUAAUACAUCGGAACGUGCCCUGUAGUGGGGGAUAACUAGUCGAAAGAUUAGCUAAUACCGCAUACGACCUGAGGGUGAAAGUGGGGGACCGCAAGGCCUCAUGCUAUAGGAGCGGCCGAUGUCUGAUUAGCUAGUUGGUGGGGUAAAGGCCCACCAAGGCGACGAUCAGUAGCUGGUCUGAGAGGACGAUCAGCCACACUGGGACUGAGACACGGCCCAGACUCCUACGGGAGGCAGCAGUGGGGAAUUUUGGACAAUGGGCGAAAGCCUGAUCCAGCAAUGCCGCGUGUGUGAAGAAGGCCUUCGGGUUGUAAAGCACUUUUGUCCGGAAAGAAAUGGCUCUGGUUAAUACCUGGGGUCGAUGACGGUACCGGAAGAAUAAGGACCGGCUAACUACGUGCCAGCAGCCGCGGUAAUACGUAGGGUCCAAGCGUUAAUCAGAAUUACUGGGCGUAAAGCGUGCGCAGGCGGUUGUGCAAGACCGAUGUGAAAUCCCCGAGCUUAACUUGGGAAUUGCAUUGGUGACUGCACGGCUAGAGUGUGUCAGAGGGGGGUAGAAUUCCACGUGUAGCAGUGAAAUGCGUAGAGAUGUGGAGGAAUACCGAUGGCGAAGGCAGCCCCCUGGGAUAACACUGACGCUCAUGCACGAAAGCGUGGGGAGCAAACAGGAUUAGAUACCCUGGUAGUCCACGCCCUAAACGAUGUCAACUAGUUGUUGGGGAUUCAUUUCCUUAGUAACGUAGCUAACGCGUGAAGUUGACCGCCUGGGGAGUACGGUCGCAAGAUUAAAACUCAAAGGAAUUGACGGGGACCCGCACAAGCGGUGGAUGAUGUGGAUUAAUUCGAUGCAACGCGAAAAACCUUACCUACCCUUGACAUGCCACUAACGAAGCAGAGAUGCAUUAGGUGCUCGAAAGAGAAAGUGGACACAGGUGCUGCAUGGCUGUCGUCAGCUCGUGUCGUGAGAUGUUGGGUUAAGUCCCGCAACGAGCGCAACCCUUGUCUCUAGUUGCUACGAAAGGGCACUCUAGAGAGACUGCCGGUGACAAACCGGAGGAAGGUGGGGAUGACGUCAAGUCCUCAUGGCCCUUAUGGGUAGGGCUUCACACGUCAUACAAUGGUGCAUACAGAGGGUUGCCAAGCCGCGAGGUGGAGCUAAUCCCAGAAAAUGCAUCGUAGUCCGGAUCGUAGUCUGCAACUCGACUACGUGAAGCUGGAAUCGCUAGUAAUCGCGGAUCAGCAUGCCGCGGUGAUACGUUCCCGGGUCUUGUACACACCGCCCGUCACACCAUGGGAGUGGGCUUUACC